GAUCCUGGCUCAGGAGUGAACGCUAGCGACAGGCUUAACACAUGCAAGUCGAGGGCAGCGGGGUGUAGCAAUACAUCGCCGGCGACCGGCGCACGGGUGAGUAACGCGUAUGCAACUUGCCUAUCAGAGGGGGAUAACCCGUCGAAAGACGGACUAAUACCGCAUGAAACAGGGGUCCCGCAUGGGGAUAUUUGUUAAAGAUUACAUCGCUGAUAGAUAGGCAUGCGUUCCAUUAGGUAGUUGGUGGGGCAACGGCCCACCAAGCCGACGAUGGAUAGGGGUUCUGAGAGGAAGGUCCCCCACACUGGUACUGAGACACGGACCAGACUCCUACGGGAGGCAGCAGUGAGGAAUAUUGGUCAAUGGGCGAGAGCCUGAACCAGCCAAGUCGCGUGAGGGACGAAGGCCCUACGGGUUGUAAACCUCUUUUAUAAGGGAAUAAAGGACAUCACGUGUGAUGUUUUGCAUGUACCUUAUGAAUAAGCAUCGGCUAACUCCGUG
rnacentral:rRNA from 1 species